AGGGUUCACCGACAACCGGAUCCUCGGUCUCCCCUCCCCCACGGGAGGCUGGGCGUCUUAGACUCCCAACUCUGUUCUCUGGGAGCGUCCAGCUGCAGGAACCUACAGAAUCAUCCUGUCUGACCCCCUCGUUUUAUGGGAGUAGUUGAGACCACGGACUCUGGGGACCUGCCCGUCCUGGUUGCAAGCCCCGCUCCACCAUUUCCUGCUGCAGACUUUAUAAACCAGAGCAGCUGCCUGAAGGUUUCCAAGAAAAAAAUUCUGCACAGUUUCUAACCAGGGUGACAGUUCACCUCCACAGGAAGUUACUUUUAUUAAUUUUUUAAUCUCUUCUUUUGUAAGACUAUCUACUGGUCAUCAGGCAGCACCUGUGGGCAUUUUCUUAUUUUUUUCCCCCAACUGCUCCCAUUUGCCUGGAAUUCAUUAUUAAAUCUAACUCAUAGUGGCCUUGCCCAACACAGGGGCAAAGUUCGAACUACUGAAAAAUGGGUCACUCAAAUCGCCUGUGCAGAAGAAUCCCAAAUAAUUUAUGGAGAUACUCCUCCCUCAAGGCGGUGAAACAUAAAUCCCUGUCCCUGAAGUGUGGGCUGUGCAUAAUGAUUUCCUUCUAUGGAGUAUAGUAUGGAAAGCAGGGGGAAAGAGUAAUCUUGCAGGAGAGAAACCUGACAAGCACUAGCUCAGCCAGAUGGCCAAGGUCAACAUCAGCAGCGAUCAGUCGUGUCUAUAGCAUGGACACUUGAUAUGAUGUGAUGGAAACAGCACAUCACCCCCAAACCCAUAACCACAGUUGAACCAUGAGAAAAACAGCAGACAGACCCCACCUGAGGGACAGUCUACAAAGUACCCGACCAACAGUCCAUCAAAAACAAGGAAAGUCUGAGAAACUACCACAGCCAAGAGCAGCCUAGGGAAAUAAGAUGGCUGCAUACAAUGUGAGAGACCCUGUGGAACAGAGAAAGGAUGGUGGUUAAAAACUAAUAAAAUCCAAAUAAACUACAGAGUUUAGUUAACAAUAACAUACCAGUGUUGUGGAAAAUGUACCGCAGCAAUGUCAGGUGUUAACAAUAGGAGAAACUGGGUUGGGGUAUAUGGCAAUUCUGUACUAUCUGCAAAACUUUUCUGUAAGUCUAAAACUAUUCUAAAAGUUUACAUUUUAAACA
rnacentral:lncRNA from 1 species